CCUUUGUACACACCGCCCGUCGCUACUACCGAUUGAAUGGCUCAGUGAGGCUUUCGGACUGGCUUUGGGGAGCCGGCAACGGCACUCUAUUGCUGAGAAGCUGAUCAAACUUGGUCAUUUAGAGG
rnacentral:rRNA from 1 species